rnacentral:rRNA from 1 species
AAUUUUGGACAAUGGGUGAAACCCUGAUCUAGCCAUCCCGCGUGUGCGAAGAAGGCCUUCUGGUUGUAAAGCACUUUUGUCAGGGAAGAAAAGGUUCUGGCUAAUACCCGGAACUGAUGACGGUACCUGAAGAAUAAGCAUCGGCUAACUCCGUGCCAGCAGCCGCGGUAAUACGUAGGUCGCAAUCUUUAACCGGAAUUACUGGGCCUAAAGCGUGCGCAAGCGGUUCGGAAAGAAGGAUGUGAAAUCCCAGGGCUCAACCUUGGAACUGCAUUCUUAACUACCGAACUAGAGUAUGUCAGAGGGGGGUAGAAUUCCGCGUGUAGCAGUGAAAUGCGUAGAUAUGCGGAGGAAUACCGAUGGCGAAGGCAGCCCCCUGGGAUAAUACUGACGCUCAUGCACGAAAGCGUGGGUAGCAAACAGG